rnacentral:tRNA from 1 species
CAAAGUGUAGCUUAAUACCUAAAGCAUCCGGCUUACACCCGGAAGACUUCACCCACAGAACACUUUGA